AGGGCCACACCUACAGCAUAUGGAAGUUCCCAGGCUAGGGGUCCAAUCAGAGCCACAGCUGCUGGCCUACACCACAGUCCCAGCAAUGGCCAAAUCCAAGCCACCUUUGCAACCUACACUGCAGCUCAUGGCAACGCAGAUCCUUUACCCAUUGAGCAAGGCCAGGGAUCUAACCCUCAUCUUCAUGGGUACUAGUUGGAUUCAUUUCCGAUGAGCCACAAUGGGAAUUCCCUAGAUAGCUUUUUAAUUUCUAUUUUUUUCCUUUCCAUUUUUUCCUAAAAUCCAAGAAUUUAUUUUGGUCACUUUCUGAUUUAUUUAUACUUUUACUGGCUCAUAAACAGUGAAUAUUUAUACUAUAAGGCUUUCUAUGUGAGUAUCAUAGAUUUUGACAGGAUAUAUUCAUUUCUUCAUUCAACAAACGCUAUGAAGAAAUGAGCCUUAAGGGAAGACUCAGUUGUGGUAAGAUUGGGUUGGGGGAGACCCAGGUGGAUGCAGAGGGCAUUUCAUUUAGCAGGAUUAAUAUGCACAAAGUUGAAAAGCAUGAAGGAACCUACCCCAUGGCCAGGAACCAGAGGUAGAGAUGAAUUUUUGGAGCAUAAAGUGAGCGAGGAGAGUUAGGCAAGAUGAGACUACUUAGAAAAUGAUGACCUUUUGAAAAUUACUUCCCUACCUUUUUCAUUCUGUUAGAACCUCAAGGACAUUGUGAGCAUAAUCUGGAAGAUAUGCUAAGGUGCUUGGAGCAGAGGGCCAGAAGACCUCUCCUUCUCCAGCAUAGGAGGGUGCUUUCCUUUCCUAGGGCUGCCUUAACCAAGUACCACACCGAGGUGGCUUAGAAUAGCAUUAAUUUAUUAUCCCUCAGAUAUGGAGGCUAAAAGUCCAAAAUCAAGUUGUUGACAGGGCCAUGCUACCUUUGAAACCUGUAGGAGAGAUUCCUUCCUCACUUCUCCCUACCUGCUGGUGAUUGCUGGUAGUCAGUCUUUGGUCCUCCUUGGCUUGUACGUGCAUCACUCCAAUCUCUGCCUGUAUUGUCAAGUGGGAUUCUCCCCAUGGGUCUCUUGUCUUAUAAAGUUUCUUAUAAGGACAUCAGUUAUAUUGGAUUAGGUGCCUAAGCUACUCCAGCAUCAUCUUAGCUAAUAUAUCUUCAGUGAGGUACUGGGAGUUACAACUUCAACAUCACUUUUUGUGGAAAGAUACAAUUCAACCCAUAACAAAGCCACAGUUCAAGUUUUUAAACAUUUCAAACAAAUAUGCUGAUUUUCUUCUAGAUAUUAUUGUGUCUGUGUGCCAUUAACUCACUUUUAACAAAUAUCUGUAACACCUAGCCCACUAUGUAUCUACAAGCACGUCAACCCAGUCUUUAUUUUUGCCAUGUUCCUUUAGAAAUCCUCUCCUUGAUUGUGCAUAUUUUUAUUCUUAAUAUCAAAUUUGUUCAUAGCUUCCCAAUUGAUAUAGUGAUGAUUUUAGGAUUCAGUUAUUGAAAAAUUAACUCAAUUCCACCCAAGAGUCCAUAGUCUAAAUGUUGGGAAUCAAUAUUCCAGCAUAACCUCCAAAUUCUCUAAAAAGUUUGUCCCUCCCAGAAAUCUCCUCCUUACCAAAAAAAAAAAAAAAAAAAUUCUUCUCCUUUUCAGGAGAUGCAUGCACAAGUACUCAAAAGUAGGGUGGCUGAAACUCAAUGUCAGCAAGAUUCCUGAUUUUUCUGAACUUUUCCAGAAACAGCUCUUCUCUGAACUCGUCCAGAUUUUUAGUUUCUCUCUGUUCCUUCUUCCCACCCAAGCCUUUUCUUCUUUGCUCCCUCCUUCCUAUACUUACACUUGUUUCUACUGAAUAUCUGGUAACUCAUUUUUCUAAUUAGGUCACCGAAGAAACUCUUGUAAACCUCCCCAAUGGAUAUUAGCAUGGCCUGGAAUGCUCCAUUCUGUUUUCUUUUCUGGAUCAGAACUCAGUAUGUAAACCAGGAAUGUUGACCUUCCAUCAUGCUAUCCAUAUUGGAAACUUUGCUAUUCCAGUAUCACAUCUUUUGGAUUGGUUCCAUGGAUUUUCAAAUUAACUAAUUUGAGAGAUGUACCUUUUUUAAACUAGUUAAGUCAUGUUCUUGAUUUCAAAGGGCAAUAAGUGAAUGUAACUAUGUUCUUUUGUAGACAAAAUUAAACUAUCAGUAAUUCAUGCUUCAGGUGAGGUAAAAUGGGAUUAUCUUUGGAGGCAGAACAUGUCUUUUGGCAUCUUUCCAUUAAGUCUGCUCACAUGUAAUGCCUGCUAUGGGUUGACUUGUGCUAUUUAACAUUGAUGUUCAAGUAUACAUUUACUAAAUAGUAGAUGGAUCAAGUGGAGGGAGAUGGGUGAGGAACUUAGUCAAUUCAUUACAGUUGACCCUUGAAGAAGUUGUGGGUUUGUGGUAUAUAACUUUAUAGUUAGCCCUCUAUAUCGGCAGCUGCACAUUUGUAGGUUCACCCAACUACUAAAUAAGUAACAUGUAUUUAGUGAAAAAAAUCUGUUUAUUUUUUCAAUUCAAACCCAUGUUGCCCAAGUAUCAGCUAUAUUUAGAAUCAAGUGAAUGGUAUAUUCCCCUGCAAAUAUUUUAUAUAUAUAUUUGUAAAAUUUUUAGUUAUUUUAAAGUUGAUUUUCUUCUCAAAAGAGUAUUUAGAAAGGUAACCCACUUAUAAAGUUAUUCUAAUAAAUGAGUCCUUCCAGAACAACAUUUAAUUGUUAUAGUUGGAAAAUUAAUAACCAAAACUGUAUGAACUAGUCUCUUCUCAACUGUCAUCAAUGUAUUGCAGUAAAGUCUGGUGUUUUAAAAGCUUGUAAAACAACUUUGAUAUAAGAGAAUCAUUUCAUGUAUGUACACAAUGGGUAAUCCACCUUUCACAGGUCAUUAGAAAUACAGAACUAAUGGUAAGGUAGGAUUGCAUGGCUUUUAGUGAGAUGACAAGUCCUUGAAAUGAAAUGAAAUCUGCAAUGUGAUUCAAACUCUUUUUGUGCUUUCCUUUUAGCAAAAAUUACUGGAGCACUGAGAAUCCAAGAAAACAAUAUGGGAACAGAAAACCUAUGCAUUAACUUAUCUUUACUUAGGAUUUUCUUAGGCAGCUAUUGUGAUUCAAAUAAAUAAACAGUUGAGGCUACUUCUAUUUUCAACCUUAUUUCACAAAGAGUGAACUGAGGAGGGCAGAGAUUCAUUAGUCUCAAUGCUGAGGUGUGGUAACAGUUUAUAAACCUAGGUUUGAAAUAUUAGCACCACAACAAAGAAAUUUUUAUUCUUUUAUUUCACGUUUUCAAGUUCAAUAAAAAUAUAGAAUGAUGUUUUGGAAUGAAUUUAUAGGUUUUUUACAAAGUAUGAAAAGGGAUAUUUGCUCUUGAAAUUCCCAUAUGAUUUUUUUUUGUCUUCUUUGUCUUUUUAGGACCACACCCAUGGCAUAUGGAGGUUCCCAGGCUAGGGGUCCAAUCUGAGCUACAGCUGCCAGCCUACGCCAGAGCCACAGCAACACCAGAUCAAGCCAUGUCCGAGACCUACACCAUAGCUCACAGCAACACCAGAUCCCCAAACCACUGAGUGAGGCCAGGGAUCAAACCCGCAACCUCAUGGUUCCUAGUUGGAUUCGUUUCUGCUGCGCCAUGUCGGGAACUCCCUGCUUAUGAUUUUUCAGAAUGUACUCAAACUAAAUGGUGAGAAUAUGAUGAAGAAUAUGCUGUGUCUUAAAAACUCAUUUGUGCAUUAUGUGCCCCCUUCAGCUUGACUGAUUCUCUAUUCAUUUGAACUUCUGAGAGUCUUUGAACUUGCUUUAUUCUGUUCAUAUCCUUUUCUAAGCAGAUAAAAUAUGGUUUCUAUUGGUGAAAUAGUGGUAAUCAAAAUAAAUUUACAUUAUUUUUUAAAAAUGCCUUAUAAAGACAUUUAAAGAUUACAUUUAUCUUGAUAUUGUUAAGAAGAAAAAGCUAUAGGUCAUUCUCUUCCAAUGAAAUGGUUGUGGAUUGGAUGAACAUAUUUGUAUUCAAAAAUGAAUUGAUCUUACAACUUUUAGACAAAAGUAUUACUUUACAAAUACUUUGUUUUGAUUAUCCAAACUGAUUUUUUUCCCCAAUAUUGUUCCUUUUAAAUAAAGUACAAUUGGUUUUACUGUGAUUGUGGAAAAUAAUAUAACGACUUUUUGAAAAAUUUAUGUUUUCCCUGUGGAGAUAAUAUGUCAUAUUCUACUUUUAAGUUAUCGAAAGUCUUCUCUUAUAAAUAUGUACACAGUUGGGUAUAUACUCAAAAAACUAGCUGUCAAUCUUUAGAAUAUCUGUGCUCAUUGAUAUUUACAGAUUUCAUUCCCACAUAUUCCUCUCUUAAAAAGAACAUGAAUUAAAAAUAUGUUCUAUUUGUACCAGUCCCCACUAAUUUAAUAAAUAUUUACUGAAUGUGUGCUCUGUGCCAGGUUCAUUUCUAUGUUCUGUGUGAUCAGAUAAGAUCCCUGCCUUCAUGGAACUUAAGCUCUUUCAGGGCCUGGGUUGUAGUGGUGGGUGUGGUUUGGGAAGAUAGAAAAGAAAAAUUAAUAAACAAAAUUACCUAAAGAAAUGAUUUUUGAAGUAAAAAAAAAGUGAUAGACUAGAAGCCCUGUAGAUUAGGUAUCCUACAGUUACAUAAGACAGAGAAUUAUAAUAGUUAACAUUUAUUGAAUGCUUGUUAUGUACCAAGUACUUCUCUGUUGACCUUCACAUGGAUUAGGCUAUUUCAUAACAUAAGUUUAUGAUAUAGGUACCAUUGUCAUCUUAAUUUUAAGUAUGCAGAUACUUAAAUACAUAAUUUACCUUACUCUUUGAAAAAUCACACUAUUAAGAAAUUAUGAAGAUGGGAUUUUAAACUAUGUGGUUUGACACAGAAGUAGUAGUAUUAACCAUUAUGCUAUUUUUGAGGAAAUUGCAUGUUGCCUCACGGUAGAUAGAUGAGUUACAAAGCAUAGGAAGGGGCAAAUUAGAGACAGAGAAAACAACACAUGAAAAGGACUUAAGGCAAGAAAAAUCAUGAUGUAUUUGCAGAACAGAAGGUAGGAGUGUUGGAUUAUAGUGAGUAAUUAAAAAGUCAUGUAAAAAUUACUUUGAGAAGCAUCUAGCAGUAAGUAUAUCACAUAGGGCCUUUUAAACAAUAAUAAGAGGUUUGUACUUUAUUGUCAGAGCAAUACAAAGCAAUCAGAGGACAUUAAAACAAAGGAGAUACAUGAUUUGAUUGACAUUAACAAAGUCUACUUACUGUAUGGGGGAUGAAGGGGAGUGGGAUAUGGGAACAAGAACAGUUGAAAGACUAUGAUGAUAGUCAAGGAAUGAAAUCAAGGCACUUUGAACUAUGUAAGUGGUAAUGGGAAUGGAAAGAAAACAAUAUAUUUUAGAUAUCUUUUGGAUAGUAAGUCAGUGAUACUUGAUUGAUUGGCUGUGUAGGACUGAAGAUUAAGCAAGAGAUCAUUCUAUUUUGAAUAUGUUCCUUUUGCUUGAUGUCUAAGAGAAGAUAUCAAAGAGACAGAUGCAGUCUAAAGCUCAGGGGAAAGGUCUGAGCUGAUGAUCUAUUUGGAAUCACUAGCUUGUAAUUGGUGAUUAAAGCUAUGGGCAUCAAUGUUUUCUUUACCUUGUCUUGUUUUAGGGCUGCAUGCAUGGCAUAUGAAGUUUCCCAGGUUAGGGGUCAAAUCAGAGCUGUAGCUGCUGGCUUACACCACAGCCACAGCAACACGGGAUCUGAGCCACAUCUGUGAUCUACACCAUAGCUCAUAGCAAUGCCGAAUCCUUAACCCACUGAGCAAGGCCAGGGAUAGAAUCUGCAUCCUCAUGGAUGCCUGUCAGAUUUGUUUCCACUGACCUAUGGUGGGAACUCCCAACGUUGAUGUUUUCUAGGGCAGUGUUCCUCAAUACUGACUGUACUUUUGACUCAUCUAGGAAGAUUUUCAAAAAUAAAGAUUCCAUGCUCUAUCUGAAGCCAGUUAAAUUAGAAUCUUUGAGGAGAUGAACCCUGAACCAUAUUUUUAAAUACCUCUGUAAAUUCUUUAAAAGAGUAGCCAGCCUUGAGACCCACUGGUUUAGGAAUAGGAGCAAACAAUGAUAGAAGCUAAGAGUGCAGAUUCCAGAAAAGAAAGUGUUUUAAGAAGGAUAGACCUGUUUCAAGAAAGGUCAG
rnacentral:lncRNA from 1 species